rnacentral:rRNA from 1 species
UACGGGGGGGGCAAGCGUUGUUCGGAAUUACUGGGCGUAAAGGGCUCGUAGGCGGCUUGUCACGUCGGGUGUGAAAGCCCGGGGCUUAACCCCGGGUCUGCAUUCGAUACGGGCUAGCUAGAGUGUGGUAGGGGAGAUCGGAAUUCCUGGUGUAGCGGUGAAAUGCGCAGAUAUCAGGAGGAACACCGGUGGCGAAGGCGGAUCUCUGGGCCAUUACUGACGCUGAGGAGCGAAAGCGUGGGGAGCGAACAGG